rnacentral:rRNA from 1 species
AAUCAACGCUGGCGGCGUGCCUCAGACAUGCAAGUCGAACGAUUAAACUUGCCUUCGGGCAAGAUAUAAAGUGGCGCACGGGUGAGUAACACGUAAGUAAUCUACCUUCGAGUGGGGAAUAACGUCGGGAAACCGACGCUAAUACCGCAUAAUGCAGCGGCACCUAAUGGUGACAGUUGUUAAAGGAGCAAUUCGCUUGAAGAGGAGCUUGCGGCAGAUUAGCUAGUUGGAAGGUAAUGGCUUACCAAGGCUACGAUCUGUAACCGGUCUAAGAGGACGGUCGGUCACACUGACACUGAAUAACGGGUCAGACUCCUACGGGAGGCAGCAGUCGGGAAUUUUGGGCAAUGGGCGAAAGCCUGACCCAGCAACGCCGCGUGAAGGAUGAAGUAUUUCGGUAUGUAAACUUCGAAAGAAUGGGAAGAAUCAAUGACGGUACCAUUUAUAAGGUCCGGCUAACUACGUGCCAGCCGCCGC